AGCGUAGACGGUGUGGCAAGUCUGAUGUGAAAGGCAUGGGCUCAACCUGUGGACUGCAUUGGAAACUGUCAUACUUGAGUGCCGGAGGGGUAAGCGGAAUUCCUAGUGUAGCGGUGAAAUGCGUAGAUAUUAGGAGGAACACCAGUGGCGAAGGCGGCUACUGGACGGUAACUGACGUUGAGGCUCGAAAGCGUGGGGAGCAAACA
rnacentral:rRNA from 1 species